AAGAAUAUAUAUAUAUAUAUAAGGAAAUAAAAAAUAUAGCUAAAAUUAGGCUCAUUUUGUCCAAUAAAAUUACAAGUUUAAAUUACAAUUACAACAUUAAGUCAAGUCAAAUUAUAGCCAAAUCAAAUUACAAUUAAAAAAAAUAAAAUAAAGAAAGCCAUUUUAUGUAGCCUUGCCAGCUGCUACAUGCCUUGUUUGUUUUCCUUUUGCUGCACUACCUUGCUUUUGCUCUAGCUGCCUGCCUUAUUUGAUUUUUCUGUUGCUGCACUGCUUUUAAGCACUAUCCUUGUGUCUGUUUUGUAACUAAAAAAACAUAGUCUUAUAAGUUAGAGAGAUCAUAUGUAAGUAAUAAAAGUCAACUAUCUUUUUCCUUAGCCAUGAUACACAUUAUACAGAGCAAAGAGACAAACUUUUGAGUUUAAAAAAAAACUAAAAGACAAAUUAAAGCUGCAAAUAAAAUAAAAAUUCAGCAAAUGAACAUAUAAAAAUAAACAUAAGCUAAAAUCAUGAAUGCAUCAGAUGUACAGAAAAAAACGCAGAUGAUGAGCAAAAGAAAAAAAAACAUCAAACAAGGAACUAGAGAACUCAAACUCAAAUAGAGACACAAACAAAGAAAGCAACUAAACAAGUGAAAAACUCUAUAAAUACAUAUUCAUUUGUUUUCAAAAGGGAAAGAAAAAGAUCUGAUACAAACAAAAAACGAAAGAAAAAAUAAAACAAGAAGAAAACUAUUCUAAGGUUUCUAUCGAGCUGCACACUACCGUGCACUGCCGCCUCUAUACUUACCGUGGCCUUUGGUAUCCGAAAAGGCAUAUACUUUAUUCCUUCUUUAUAUUUGCUUUUCUUUUCAAACUUUGUGUUACUAAAAAUGUGAACUUCAUCAUAUUGGAAACAAAAAUUGAAACUAGAGUUUGAUUGAUUCAAAAAAUGAAAGCUUUUGUUUUUCUGCUAUCGAUGCUUCUUGUUUGGAGUGUGGUAUAGAU
rnacentral:lncRNA from 1 species